AUUGAACGCUGGCGGCAGGCUUAACACAUGCAAGUCGAGCGAGCGGCGGACGGGUGAGUAAUGUCUGGGAAACUGCCUGAUGGAGGGGGAUAUCUACUGGAAACUGUAUCUAAUACCGUAUACCAUCAGAUGUGCCCAGAUGGGUUUAGCUUGUAGGUGGGGUAAUGGCUCACCUAGGCGACGAUCCCUAGCUGGUCUGAGAGGAGGACCAGCCACACUGGAACUGAGACACGGUCCAGACUCCUACGGGAGGCAGCAGUGGGGAAGAUUGCACAAUGGGCGCAAGCCUGAUGCAGCCAUGCCGCGUGUGUGAAGAAGGCCUUCGGGUUGUAAAGCACUUUCAGCGAGGAGGCGUUACUCGCAGAAGAAGCACCGGCUAACUCCGUGCCAGCAGCCGCGGUAAUUC
rnacentral:rRNA from 1 species